AUUAAAAUCUAUAAGGAGUAUUCCAUAUCUGGCAUUGUAUGCAUUAUGGUUUAUUUUUGCAUUUCUUCCGAUCUGGCAUUAUGGGCGGUAAAGCAAAACUCGAGUCUUGUUCAUUCCUAUGGAUGGGAAAUGCUCGCACUGCAAUGCAAUAAAAUUCCAUGCGGUAAGGGGUUAAAGUAUGUAUUUUUAUUUCAUUGGUACUUGAUUAUAAAAAGUUAAAUCACAAUAAUCAAUUAUUGUAAUGGAUUCACUAGUCGGUUACGGUAGCGAUGAUGACAUUGAAACUGAACGCUAUGGACACCAAGCAUCGGUAAGUGUAUGCACUUGAUGCAUAAUUUUUCUAGGUAUUAUUGAGCAAUAUGUUUGAACAUUAAAUUUUUAUGUGUUUAGUUUUUGUUUUUCACUCUCAUUAAAUAAUAUAAAUGUAUUAUGUUUUGAUAUGGAAGUCUUUACUCUUUUAACUAUAAUCAGUCCAAUGCAGCAAUGGUUUAUUAUACGUACAUUACUACCUUGAUUUACUAUUUCCAAGAAAUUAUCAUAUUUGAAGUAAUUUCAAAUCUCUAUUAGUAUUUCUCAUUAUGUGAUUUUCAAGAAUUUGAUAUUAAUUAAUUUCUCUGCUUGACAAUAGACUAAUAUUAUAGUAGAAGAGAAGAUUACACUAACUAUGAUCAAGUCAACAUGGAUCUAAGUGAGGUUGGUAUAUUUUUAUUAACUUAGUUUACCAUUAUAAUAUAUAUAACUAGUUCCUAUGUAGUAAGCACAUUGUGGGUCAAUAUUGCUACUUCAUUAAUAAUAUCGCCUCAUUGAGCACUUUUAAAACACUAGGAAAUAUAAAACUUUAUAAAUUUAUAUAUUAUUGAUUGUCUUUGAAAGUGUUCUAGAAAAAUAAUGGUUCACCAAAUUAUUGUUACAAAUUUAAACUAAUUUUUGUAGUAGUUAAUACAUCAAUAGCUUUUAUAAUCUAUAUUAGAUUAUCCUUAAUAAUGGUAUACACUAGUAUUGUGUUAUAUCCACAUAUUAGUUAUGACAUAAAAAUAAUUUACUCUCUCUUAUAUAUAUAUAUGCCAAAGUGGCUACCGUGAAACAGUAGAUAUUGAAAUAUGUAUACAUAUGUUAAUUUAUCAUCAAAAAAAAAUUAAAUUCUUUUCAUCACUGAUAUUAACACUUUUAUUAUUUUAUAUGUUACCUCUUUGUAAAUUGACCAAAACAAAAGUCAAAAACGAUCUGCGUGGCGUCAAGAUGUCCCUAUCCCUCUAGUGACUUUACCAUGUAAGUACGUAGAGUUAAGAAAGACAUGUUUAAUCCAUUCAUUAUUAUUGCUCUUGCCCCUAUUAAUAUUAUUGUAAAGGCUUCUUGUAUCUGGGUCUACAAAUAAAUAUCGUUUAAGAAUUCUUCAACCAUAUGUUAACAACAAAUUUGAUAUAAGAAACUUAAUUAAACAAAACAAGGUAAAGUAGAUAAUAUAGGUAAUGCACAUAUAAUAAAAAGUCUCAUGCCAUGAUCAACAUUGUAGGAUAUUAAAGUAGAAAAUGACUGAUGAUGUUUGUCGUAGGAUUCCCAAGGAAAAGAGUCUGAGCCAGAAUUGCCGCAGGCUGAGUCACGGGUUUUACGGCAGACAUCUGGAGAGGACCAGUCAAGCUCUACUGACAGUCGAGAUGCAGAGCGCCCACGAGAGUAUGGCAAAGAACGUGAGCGCGACCGUGACCGUGAUCGCGAUGGAAAGCGAGACAAGCGCCGCGAAUCACCGCGGAAGGAUCGGGAACGCUCUGAAAGAGAUCGUCGCUCACCACGUAAAGAUGAUAAAUACAGAUCGUAGUCAAAGGCCUCGUGAUGCACCACGUUGAGGAUUACUUGGCGACAGACCAGACGAUAAACACUCGUCUACUGAUAGCAAGAUGCCAGCAUUAAUGGAUCUUAAACCAUUUGGAAGUGACGGGCUGACCAAGUUAAAAUCACAAGACGCUCGUGACGCUGUAUCUCCCAGGUUUGUUGAUCGUCGGGAACGUGAUCAUGACCGAGAGCGUGAUCGUGGACGCGACCGUGACUCUGAGUGUGACCGCGAACGAGAACGCGAUUAUGAUGGCAGACACAACAGACGUUCUGAAGAUAGACGGUCAUCUGGACGCGACAGAGGCAGCGAGAGGUCUCGAUCACGUGGUCACGCCUAUCCUCCCCCACACACGUCAAAUGAACGAAGAUCACCCUCAUCUGGUGACUACAGAACGUCUUCAUACAAAAUCAAUAAGAAGCUCGAGGUUAUGGAAAAAAUGGGUAAAUUAUUACACGCUUUAUAUUAGCUUCACCUGUAUGUAUG